AACAUAGUAUACAAUAAACAUAAGUUACACAACCAUAAAAGCCUGGCAUACCAGGUAGCAAUUCUUCUGUUCCUAGUCCCUAGACCAUACCUCGUCAUCUUCAUCAUGUUUAUAAGUGUCCCUAAACAGGUACAAUUCUGCUCACAAGCGAUUGUAUAUCAGGUUAAGAAUUUGCAAUUAUGCAUAUUAAUAAGGAUAGAGUUAUUGUGAAGAGAAACAUAAGAAGAACUAAUGCAGUGGAGAUCAUUUCAGCGGAUGAAGAUUAGUAAUGGUUUUAUAGUGCAAUUUGGUAUAAUAUGUCCAGGCUUUCCAAAGCCUAAGUUUCACAAGUAAUGCUAACACAAUGUCUAGAAGAGAUUUCUGUAGAGCAUUUUACAUAGUUUUACAUCCAACAGUGCUUAAGUUGAUGAAUACCCAAAACACAAAGACAGGUCUCGCCAGCAUUGAACUCUAUGAAGAUGAAUAGCAAGGUGGGAAUUGGAGAUCAUGCAAAAUUUAAACAUAUGGAGCCUCAAACUGGGUUGGAAGACACAUGAGAGAUAGAAAGAAUUGAUGCCAAUACUGAACUAGCAUAGUUAAUGGUGCAGGUAGAACAAAAUUGAGGCUCCAUGUAGAAAUUCCUGCAAGUAAUUUAGUAAUAAACUAUAAGAUUGUUUCACGUUACACUUGAUUGAGUUAUCAACACUCUUUAAUCCAUCAAUACAAUUGUUCGUAGCUUAAGGAGGCAUA